rnacentral:rRNA from 1 species
UACGUAGGUGGCAAGCGUUGUCCGGAAUUAUUGGGCGUAAAGCGCGCGCAGGCGGUCCUUUAAGUCUGAUGUGAAAUCUCGCGGCUCAACCGCGAGCGGCCAUUGGAAACUGGGGGACUUGAGUGCAGAAGAGGAAAGCGGAAUUCCACGUGUAGCGGUGAAAUGCGUAGAGAUGUGGAGGAACACCGGUGGCGAAGGCGGCAUCCUGGACCGGCAUUGACGCUGAGGCGCGAAAGCCAGGGGAGCAAACGGG